GGGUUGUGAGGUUAAGCGACUAAGCGUACACGGUGGAUGCCCUGGCAGUCAGAGGCGAUGAAGGACGUGCUAAUCUGCGAUAAGCGUCGGUGAGGUGAUAUGAACCGUUAUAACCGGCGAUUUCCGAAUGGGGAAACCCAGUGUGUUUCGACACACUAUCAUUAACUGAAUCCAUAGGUUAAUGAGGCGAACCGGGGGAACUGAAACAUCUAAGUACCCCGAGGAAAAGAAAUCAACCGGAGCCUCUUAAUGGGGUGACUGCGUACCUUUUGUAUAAUGGGUCAGCGACUUAUAUUCUGUAGCAAGGUUAACCGAAUAGGGGAGCCGAAGGGAAACCGAGUCUUAACUGGGCGUUAAGUUGCAGGGUAUAGACCCGAAACCCGGUGAUCUAGCCAUGGGCAGGUUGAAGGUUGGGUAACACUAACUGGAGGACCGAACCGACUAAUGUUGAAAAAUUAGCGGAUGACUUGUGGCUGGGGGUGAAAGGCCAAUCAAACCGGGAGAUAGCUGGUUCUCCCCGAAAGCUAUUUAGGUAGCGCCUCGUGAAUUCAUCUCCGGGGGUAGAGCACUGUUUCGGCAAGGGGGUCAUCCCGACUUACCAACCCGAUGCAAACUGCGAAUACCGGAGAAUGUUAUCACGGGAGACACACGGCGGGUGCUAACGUCCGUCGUGAAGAGGGAAACAACCCAGACCGCCAGCUAAGGUCCCAAAGUCAUGGUUAAGUGGGAAACGAUGUGGGAAGGCCCAGACAGCCAGGAUGUUGGCUUAGAAGCAGCCAUCAUUUAAAGAAAGCGUAAUAGCUCACUGGUCGAGUCGGCCUGCGCGGAAGAUGUAACGGGGCUAAACCAUGCACCGAAGCUGCGGCAGCGACACUAUGUGUUGUUGGGUAGGGGAGCGUUCUGUAAGCCUGUGAAGGUGUACUGUGAGGUAUGCUGGAGGUAUCAGAAGUGCGAAUGCUGACAUAAGUAACGAUAAAGCGGGUGAAAAGCCCGCUCGCCGGAAGACCAAGGGUUCCUGUCCAACGUUAAUCGGGGCAGGGUGAGUCGACCCCUAAGGCGAGGCCGAAAGGCGUAGUCGAUGGGAAACAGGUUAAUAUUCCUGUACUUGGUGUUACUGCGAAGGGGGGACGGAGAAGGCUAUGUUGGCCGGGCGACGGUUGUCCCGGUUUAAGCGUGUAGGCUGGUUUUCCAGGCAAAUCCGGAAAAUCAAGGCUGAGGCGUGAUGACGAGGCACUACGGUGCUGAAGCGACAAAUGCCCUGCUUCCAGGAAAAGCCUCUAAGCAUCAGGUAACAUCAAAUCGUACCCCAAACCGACACAGGUGGUCAGGUAGAGAAUACCAAGGCGCUUGAGAGAACUCGGGUGAAGGAACUAGGCAAAAUGGUGCCGUAACUUCGGGAGAAGGCACGCUGAUAUGUAGGUGAAGCGACUUGCUCGUGGAGCUGAAAUCAGUCGAAGAUACCAGCUGGCUGCAACUGUUUAUUAAAAACACAGCACUGUGCAAACACGAAAGUGGACGUAUACGGUGUGACGCCUGCCCGGUGCCGGAAGGUUAAUUGAUGGGGUUAGCGGUAACGCGAAGCUCUUGAUCGAAGCCCCGGUAAACGGCGGCCGUAACUAUAACGGUCCUAAGGUAGCGAAAUUCCUUGUCGGGUAAGUUCCGACCUGCACGAAUGGCGUAAUGAUGGCCAGGCUGUCUCCACCCGAGACUCAGUGAAAUUGAACUCGCUGUGAAGAUGCAGUGUACCCGCGGCAAGACGGAAAGACCCCGUGAACCUUUACUAUAGCUUGACACUGAACAUUGAGCCUUGAUGUGUAGGAUAGGUGGGAGGCUUUGAAGUGUGGACGCCAGUCUGCAUGGAGCCGACCUUGAAAUACCACCCUUUAAUGUUUGAUGUUCUAACGUGGGCCCCUUACCGGGGUUGCGGACAGUGUCUGGUGGGUAGUUUGACUGGGGCGGUCUCCUCCUAAAGAGUAACGGAGGAGCACGAAGGUUGGCUAAUCCUGGUCGGACAUCAGGAGGUUAGUGCAAUGGCAUAAGCCAGCUUGACUGCGAGCGUGACGGCGCGAGCAGGUGCGAAAGCAGGUCAUAGUGAUCCGGUGGUUCUGAAUGGAAGGGCCAUCGCUCAACGGAUAAAAGGUACUCCGGGGAUAACAGGCUGAUACCGCCCAAGAGUUCAUAUCGACGGCGGUGUUUGGCACCUCGAUGUCGGCUCAUCACAUCCUGGGGCUGAAGUAGGUCCCAAGGGUAUGGCUGUUCGCCAUUUAAAGUGGUACGCGAGCUGGGUUUAGAACGUCGUGAGACAGUUCGGUCCCUAUCUGCCGUGGGCGCUGGAGAACUGAGGGGGGCUGCUCCUAGUACGAGAGGACCGGAGUGGACGCAUCACUGGUGUUCGGGUUGUCAUGCCAAUGGCACUGCCCGGUAGCUAAAUGCGGAAGAGAUAAGUGCUGAAAGCAUCUAAGCACGAAACUUGCCCCGAGAUGAGUUCUCCCUGACUCCUUGAGAGUCCUGAAGGAACGUUGAAGACGACGACGUUGAUAGGCCGGGUGUGUAAGCGCAGCGAUGCGUUGAGCUAACCGGUACUAAUGAACCGUGAGGCUUAACCUUACAACGCCGAAG
rnacentral:rRNA from 1 species